CGGUGCUUCUCUCACCCCAUCCCCAUCAUUGCGUCUCUCAAUACAUACAUUUUAAACAAACUUACAAACAGAAAUUAAACAAAACAAAAAAGCUCCGUUUAGAAUGAGCCAUUUAAUUAGGAGGCCAGUUCAGGAGGGGGGGUGUAAAUACAUGAUCAGACUCAGAACAUCAAAACCAGUCCAAUAAUGUCAAUGAACAGUAACGCAUACCAGUGUUUAAAGUAGAGAAAACAACAAUCAUUAGGAAUUCUUAAUCCUCAAGUACCAUGGGAAUAGUUUCACAAGCUUGAAAUGUCUUUUUAAAGGUGUUUUUAACCCGUUCAAUGAAAUGUCAUAUGAAUGUCAGAGCUAAUUAACCAUAAUAAUUAACAUAGUGAACAAUAACUAAUUCACCUGUUUAUUUAUUGUGUGUGUGUGUUUGUGUGUCUGAGACCUAUCGGUGGGGGGGGGGGUUCUGCAGUUUGAUAAGUUCACUGAAGUCUGAGGAGAUGGUUGACAGGCCAACUUGGAGGUCAUGCUGGCUGCCCAGUUUGUUUCUGCUUUUAGUUUUCAGCACAGCCUUAUCAGAGGAGCCACUUUCACACAGACAGGUAGUGCUGAACGGCAGCAUGACUCAUGACAGGCGAGAGCAGGAUACUCUCCCAUUACGCUGCAGCAGAACUGUGGCGGUGUCAUUUCCCGGGAAGCGCAUGCUCAGUCCGCCAUCAAAUGACAGCACCAUCAGCAGAUCCUUUUCGUUGCCUGGCAAUGUGACACUUCCCAUCUCCACUCGAAAGGGGUUACCUGUCCAGUCAUCUAGUCCCCUGUUCUCCUACGGGAAGUGGUCGCUCUCCUACGGGAAGUAGUCGCAAAACUUUCCCAGCAGCUUGACCAAGAUGAUGUUUAAGGGUUUUUCUUCAGUGUGACGCGGUGCGCUAUGUUGAUCGGAUUCUGAAUCUCUUCAUCAGCAUUGGGAAACAUGAUUUGCCCAAACGGUAAGCUUCAUCUCGAAGGCAUCCACUUUGUCCCUCUGUUCAAAUCGAUUGCGCCCCCCUCCCCUUGCAUUGACACGUUGAGAGAAUUCAGACGAUCAGAAAUAUCCGCCAGGCAGGCGACCUGCGCGAGCCGUUCCUCACAAUGGAAAUGUCUGAAGCUCAUAAAAGCGACUCAACAGUUUACCCCUGGAGGGCCAGCGGACCCCUGCAUGCUUAACCUGGAGAACUCUUUUUGAUAUAGUUGACACACUUGAUCACAUUGUGGAGGGUGGUGUGGAGCUCAGGCACCAUGUCCUUCGCUGCCAAAGCCUCCCAGUGUGGGAAGCAGUGGUUCCACGUCGCACUCGGUGCUCUGUCCAGGAUCCACUUUACUACCCCGGAGUGCUUUCCCGUCAUGGCAGCUGCCCCAUCAGUGGUCACACCGACGCACCCAUCCCAGGCCAGUUCCCACAGAGCCCAGGUACACAUCUACUGUGUUAAAGACAGCCUCUGGCCAGUCCCACGGAGCCCAGGUACAUAUCCACUGUGUUAAAGACAGCCUCUGGCCAGUCCCACGGAGCCCAGGUACAUAACCACUGUGUUAAAGACAGCCUCUGGCCAGUCCCACGGAGCCCAGGUACAUAACCACCGUGUUAAAGACAGCCUCUGGCCAGUCCCACGGAGCCCAGGUACAUAUCCACUGUGUUAAAGACAGCCUCUGGCCAGUCCCACAGAGCCCAGGUACAUAUCCACUGUGUUAAAGACAGCCUCUGGCCAGUCCCACAGAGCCCAGGUACAUAUCCACUGUGUUAAAGACAGCCUCUGGCCAGUCCCACAGAGCCCAGGUACAUAUCCACUGUGUUAAAGACAGCCUCUGGCCAGUCCCACGGAGCCCAGGUACAUAACCACUGUGUUAAAGACAGCCUCUGGCCAGUCCCACAGAGCCCAGG